UACGUAGGGUGCAAGCAUUGUCCGGAUUUAUUGGGCGUAAAGAGCUCGUAGGCGGCUUGUCACGUCGGGUGUGAAAACUCGGGGCUCAACCCCGAGCCUGCACUCGAUACGGGCUAGCUAGAGUGUUGCAGGGGAGACUGGAAUUCCUGGUGUAGCGGUGAAAUGCGCAGAUAUCAGGAGGAACACCGGUGCCGAAGGCGGGUCUCUGGGCAACUACUGACGCUGAGGAGCGAAAGCGUGGGGAGCGAACAGG
rnacentral:rRNA from 1 species